GACGAACGCUGGCGGCGUGCUUAACACAUGCAAGUCGAACGAAGUGGCGAACGGGUGAGUAACGCGUAAUCAACCUGCCCUUCAGAAGGGGACAACAGUUGGAAACGACUGCUAAUACCGCAUACUGAAGGAGGGGGUGUCGUCUGAUUGGCUAGUUGGAGGGGUAACGGCCCACCAAGGCGAUGAUCAGUAGACUGGCUGAGGGGAUGAACGGGCAAAAUUGGAAUGGAGAACGGGCCAAACUCCUACCGGAGGGAGCAGUGGGGAAUUAUUCGCCAUGGAGGGAAGUCUGAAGGAGGAAAGCCGCGGGAGUGAUAACGGCUUUCGGGUUGUAAAGCUCUGUUAAGCGGGACGCGUUACCGGAAUAGAAAGCAACGGCUAACUACGUGCCAGCAGCCGCGGUAAUAC
rnacentral:rRNA from 1 species